UACGUAGGUGGCGAGCGUUGUCCGGAUUUAUUGGGCGUAAAGCGCGCGCAGGUGGUCCGUUAAGUCCUGUGUGAAAUCUCCCGGCUCACCCGGGAGGGGGCGCGGGAUACUGGGGGACUGGAGGCAGGCAGAGGCCGGUGGAAUUCCCGGUGUAGUGGUGAAAUGCGUAGAGAUCGGGAGGAACACCAGUGGCGAAAGCGGCCGGCUGGGCCUGUUCUGACACUGAGGCGCGAAAGCGUGGGGAGCGAACAGG
rnacentral:rRNA from 1 species